rnacentral:rRNA from 1 species
CGACGGUAACAGGAAUUAGCUUGCUAAUUUGCUGACGAGUGGCGCACGGGUGCGUAACGCGUAUGCAAUCUACCUUGUACUGGAGUAUAGCCCAGGGAAACUUGGAUUAAUCCUCCAUAGUCUAUUGAUAUGGCAUCGUAUUAAUAGUAAAGGUUACGGUACAAGAUGAGCAUGCGUCCUAUUAGCUAGUAGGUGUGGUAACGGCACACCUAGGCAACGAUAGGUAGGGGUCCUGAGAGGGAGAUCCCCCACACUGGUACUGAGACACGGACCAGACUCCUACGGGAGGCAGCAGUGAGGAAUAUUGGACAAUGGGCGGGAGCCUGAUCCAGCCAUGCCGCGUGCAGGAAGACUGCCCUAUGGGUUGUAAACUGCUUUUAUACGGGAAGAAUAAGUGUUACGUGUAGCACGAUGACGGUACCGUAAGAAUAAGCACCGGCUAACUCCGUGCCAGCAGCCGCGGUAAUACGGAGGGUGCAAGCGUUAUCCGGAAUCAUUGGGUUUAAAGGGUCCGUAGGUGGACUAAUAAGUCAGUGGUGAAAGUCUGCAGCUUAACUGUAGAAUUGCCAUUGAUACUGUUGGUCUUGAAUUGUUGUGAAGUAACUAGAAUAUGUAGUGUAGCGGUGAAAUGCAUAUAUAUUACAUAGAAUACCGAUUGCGAAGGCAGGUUACUAACCAUAUAUUGACACUGAUGGACGAAAGCGUGUGG